rnacentral:rRNA from 1 species
AACGAACGCUGGCGGCAUGCCUAACACAUGCAAGUCGAACGAGACCUUCGGGUCUAGUGGCGCACGGGUGCGUAACACGUGGGAAUCUGCCCUUCGGUUCGGAAUAACAGUUAGAAAUGACUGCUAAUACCGGAUAAUGACGUAAGUCCAAAGAUUUAUCGCCGAAGGAUGAGCCCGCGUAGGAUUAGGUAGUUGGUGUGGUAAUGGCCUACCAAGCCGACGAUCCUUAGCUGGUCUGAGAGGAUGAUCAGCCACACUGGGACUGAGACACGGCCCAGACUCCUACGGGAGGCAGCAGUGGGGAAUACUGGACAAUGGGCGAAAGCCUGAUCCAGCAAUGCCGCGUGAGUGAUGAAGGCCUUAGGGUUGUAAAGCUCUUUUACCCGGGAUGAUAAUGACAGUACCGGGAGAAUAAGCUCCGGCUAACUCCGUGCCAGCCGCCGCGGUAACAC